rnacentral:rRNA from 1 species
UACGGGGGGAGCAAACGUUGUUCGGAAUCACUGGGCGUAAAGGGCGUGUAGGCGGCUGAAUAAGUGGGAUGUUAAAUCCCCCGGCUCAACCGGGGACCUGCAUCUCAUACUGUUCAGCUCGAGCACAUCAGAGGAGACUGGAAUUCCCGGUGUAGCGGUGAAAUGCGUAGAUAUCAGGAGGAACACCGGUGGCGAAGGCGGGUCUCUGGGCAGUAACUGACGCUGAGGAGCGAAAGCGUGGGGAGCGAACAGG